rnacentral:rRNA from 1 species
CAAUAGCGUAUAUUUAAGUUGUUGCAGUUAAAAAGCUCGUAGUUGGAUUUCGGUUAAGAGCGACCGGUCCGCCGUUUGGUGUGCACUGGUUGGUUUUAACUUCCUGUAGAGGACGUGCUCUGGGUUUAACGACCUGGACUCGGAGUCUACGUGGUUACUUUGAAAAAAUUAGAGUGUUCAAAGCGGGCUUACGCUUGAAUAUUUCAGCAUGGAAUAACACUAUAGGACUCCUGUCCUAUUUCGUUGGUCUCGGGACGGGAGUAGUGAUUAAGAGGAACAGUUGGGGGCAUUCGUAUUUCAUUGUCAGAGGUGAAAUUCUUGGAUUUAUGAAAGACGAACUUCUGCGAAAGCAUUUGCCAAGGAUGUUUNCAUUAA